GCAAGGUUAGCCGUGGCGGUAAGGCGCCGGGCUCGUAACCGGGAGGCUGCUGGUUUGAUUCCCCAGCUGUA